UCCCUGGUGGCUCAAAUGGGUAAAGAAUCUGCCUGCAAUGCAGGAGACCCAGGUUCAAUUCCUGGGUCGGGAA
rnacentral:tRNA from 1 species